UAGGCGGCCUAAUAACUUUAUUCGACAUUUUUCUUCUUCGUUCACUUGGCCCUACUAUACACAUGUAUACCCACCGCCAGGCGGCGCUCCCUUCAGUUUAGCGGGAGAUUUGUAUUACAAGUGGCGGCCAUUUUGUUUGUUUACGGAAACGUGAUGAAAGCUUAGACCUAGAACAAAAUCACGUUAUAUAUACAGUACAGUACGGUAUAUAUUGGCGACAUUUAAUUACCCCACUCACGGAACACAAUCGACAAACUGGGAACAGAAUAUCAAAUUUCGUCUAGCUUUUGGCGACUUAUGAUACCCCUUUCACCGGCAAACACUGAAUUAUCGGACAACAUGAAAUCAGGGACUAAAUUCACCAGCAUUCAUGAUCCUCGGACCACCCGCCCCCUACGCACAGCCGAUUUAUAAAUGUUGCAUCUUUCAAUCAGUGUCAAUCCCAAGAAGAACCCUGAUCAGCUCCUGGAAAAAUCAGUGUUCUUGCAGUAUUGUCAGUCAAAUCUCAAGGAAAGGAUCCCAGAAGAGGAACAUUUGCAUUAUUUCAGACUUUUUUCUUUCCUGUGUAACAAUGCCUCAAACAGCUAACACAUUUUAUAUAGUAUACAAUACAAUGUGUAUUAAUAACAGUCCAGUUAGAGUGCUGUGUUAUGCAGUAAAAAUACUUAAUUCUUGAUGACAUGUUGGUUUUAUGUUUACAUUAAACGGUAGUUAUAAUAUAUACUAAAGAAACAUAGUGGAUAAUGCCUUGUACAGGAGCAGGAGUAUGACAGUGUAAUAGUACAUGACUGCUGCGUUCAUCCAUGGAAGGAGUCUGUUAUUCGAAAUAAAGCUUUCCAUGAGGACG